rnacentral:rRNA from 1 species
CACGGAGGGCGCAAGCGUUGUCCGGAAUUAUUGGGCGUAAAGAGCUCGUAGGCGGUCUGUUACGUCUGCUGUGAAAACCCAGGGCUUAACCCUGGGCUUGCAGUGGAUACGGGCAGACUAGAGGCAGGUAGGGGAGAAUGGAAUUCCCGGUGUAGCGGUGAAAUGCGCAGAUAUCGGGAGGAACCCCGGUGGCGAAGGCGGUUCUCUGGGCCUGACCUGACGCUGAGGAGCGAAAGCGUGGGAGCGAACAGG